rnacentral:rRNA from 1 species
AUAUCAAUAAGCGGAGGAAAAGAAACCAACAGGGAUUGCCCCAGUAACGGCGAGUGAAGCGGCAACAGCUCAAAUUUGAAAUCUGGCCCUUGGGUCCGAGUUGUAAUUUGGAGAAGGUGCUUCGGGUGCGACGGCGUUCCAAGUCCCCUGGAACUGGGCGUCAUAGAGGGUGAGAGUCCCGUACGGAUCGCGCGUCCAGCCCGUGUGAAGCCCUUUCGACGAGUCGAGUUGUUUGGGAAUGCAGCUCAAAAUGGGUGGUAAAUUUCAUCUAAAGCUAAAUAUCUGCCGGAGACCGAUAGCGCACAAGUAGAGUGAUCGAAAGAUGAAAAGCACUUUGAAAAGAGAGUCAAACAGUACGUGAAAUUGUUGAAAGGGAAGGGCUUGCAGCCAGACUCGUACGCGGGGGCUCCACCGUCCCUCGGGGCGGUUCACUCCCCCGCGAUCGGGCCAGCAUCGGUUUCGGCGGCCGGACAAAGGCCCUGGGAACGUAGCUCUCCCCGGAGAGUGUUAUAGCCCGGGGUGCAAUGCGGCCAGCCGGGACCGAGGACCGCGCUUCGGCUUGGAUGCUGGCGUAAUGGCUGCCACCGCCCGUCUUGAAACACGGACCGAGGAGUCGACCAAUCAUGCGAGUCUGUGGGUGUCAAACCCCCGGGCGCAAUGAAAGUGAACGCAGGUGGGAGCCUUCGGGUGCACCAUCGACCGAUCUUGAUGUCUUCGGAUGGAUUUGAGUACGAGCACGGCUGGUCGGACCCGAAAGAUGGUGAACUAUGCGCGGAUAGGGUGAAGCCAGAGGAAACUCUGGUGGAGGCUCGCAGCGGUUCUGACGUGCAAAUCGAUCGUCAAAUCUACGCAUAGGGGCGAAAGACUAAUCGAAUCAUCUAGUAGCUGGUUCCUGCCGAAGUUUCCCU